ACUUUCAAAACUGGUUGUAUGCAGUUUCUUGUCUUCUGAACGGUUUUUACUUCUUCCUCUCUGAAAAGACACAUUUGUGAAACAACAAUACAGUCCAUUGAACACACUGUACAUCAGUCACUCACAGACUCAUUUUUAUUAUUUGUGUCAAAAAUAGACAUACAUAUAGACUAUAUAGAGAGAUAAAUACAUUGGCCACUCGACGGCACGUCAACGUCGCCGCCAUAUUGGAGCGGGCAACUCUCAUAACUCUCACAUCAGGACAGAAGAAAACGUACCUGACUCAUCAUCGACAAAUUGGACACCUACAAACCGUCUCACGAUAAUAAAAACAGAUCUCGGGGUGUUAUCUUUCACAGCCAUUUGCAAACAGGACAAGGACAGCCUUAAGGAAAGCUGUUCUCUGCAUUUCCAAGAGACAAGACUAUACCUCCCUAGACUAAUGUUGUGUUUGCACUAAACCCAGAGCAGCCCUGAAUGAAUCGACAGAAUGACCCGGCUCAUAUUCUAAAGCGAUUAAUCGUUUGAAAGCAUUAUUUAUACCAGAAAACAAGACAGAAAUACUAAGGAAGAAAAUCUCUGCAUUAAUCACUUAAACGUUUGAUUCUGAUUCAUUCAGACAUUUCUAGUAAUGUUGAUACAAAUGCUAAUACUGCACUCAUGUUUAUAAUAAAAGAUGACAUAAUCAUUCAUAAAAAAAAAACUUAAACCCAGCAAAGAAAUAAUGGAUGUUGCAUUAAGUAAUUUAUUUUCUCAUUACAUACAGUCAAGUAUAUUACAGAUCUCUUCAUACUUGAUAUAAAAUUAGAUUCAUUGGCGUAUAUUUUCAGAUUUGAGAGGUUAAGGGCAGAGAGCAUGAUCACUAUACAGCGGAUUCCUCACUGCUUCCUCACAUCACCAAUAAUCUGGGGAAGAAAAAAUUAUUACAGUCCGUAUUCCAGUGCUAAUAUAUGAACAUCGUGAAACCAAGACAUUUGCAGGAGAUGCAUAAUGACCUAAGAUAUUAAUUAUUAUUAUCUACUCAAUAUAUUCAUUUUUAGAUUUUUAUUGGUUAAUUCUUAAAACGGGGGAAAAAAAUUCUGCCAAAGAUGAAAACUAUUGUUUUUCUUAGCCGCUGACAGAUAUUUGUUCUUGUUUUAAAUAUUAACUCAUUUAUAUUUCAGUAAAUGCUUCUCGAUUUAAGGAUGUUCAGAUAUUUGAGCUGGAAAACAAGAGCAAGAGCAUCUUUCUCUGCGGUGAAGAAGAACACCAUGACGCCACCAUUCGACUCGGACACAAAUUAAAAUCUCUCGUGUUUGUGUCCGAGUCAAGCGUUGGUGGGUAAAAGAAAGGAGUAAAAAAUAAACCCUGGACAAUCUUCCUAAAACAUACGUUUUCAGGAUCCUCGAUGAUUAUACGCUUUAUCUUUAUCACAGUAUUAUUUCAUCAAGCCUUGUGUUCAACUCCAUAUUUAUACUGAAAAUAAAAGUAGCUAUGAUCUUAUUCUAGUUAGCGGCUCUGAAAUCGAGUGAAAGCUGAUUGGUUGAUUCACAAAUGUCUUCACACACAAAAAGUGCUUCAUAUUCAAACACAGUUUAGAUUAACACUCAUAUAACUGUAUUGUCUGUGUGAGAGGAAUCAAACAAUCAUAUCCUGUGAUCGUUUACUCUUCCUCAGCCUGAACAAGUGUGUUUUUUUCUGCUGAACACUAAAGAAGAUGUUUUUUUGAGUGCGAACAGUUGACGGCACCCAUUGACUUCUAUAAUAGAGGAAAAAUACUAUGGAAGUGAAUGGGUACCAUCAACCGUUUGGUGUUUAAAGCAUCAUCUUUUUAGCAUUCAGCAGAAGACAGAAACUCGUACAAAAAAUAUAUAAUUU